AGAGUUUGAUCCUGGCUCAGGAUGAACGCUAGCUACAGGCUUAACACAUGCAAGUCGAGGGGCAGCAUGGUCUUAGCUUGCUAAGAUUGAUGGCGACCGGCGCACGGGUGAGUAACGCGUAUCCAACCUUCCCUAUAGUAGGGGAUAGCCCGUAGAAAUGCGGAUUAAUACCCUAUGUUGUAUUUUGAGGACAUCUGACGAAUACCAAAGGUUCACCGCUAUAGGAUGGGGAUGCGUCUGAUUAGGUAGUCGGCGGGGUAACGGCCCACCGAGCCAACGAUCAGUAGGGGUUCUGAGAGGAAGGUCCCCCACAUUGGAACUGAGACACGGUCCAAACUCCUACGGGAGGCAGCAGUGAGGAAUAUUGGUCAAUGGGCGAGAGCCUGAACCAGCCAAGUAGCGUGCAGGAUGACGGCCCUAUGGGUUGUAAACUGCUUUUAUGCGGGGAUAAAGUGAGGGACGUGUCCCUUAUUGUAGGUACCGCAUGAAUAAGGACCGGCUAAUUCCGUGCCAGCCGCCGC
rnacentral:rRNA from 1 species